UCGACUUCCGAAAAGAUUAUGCUAUAUUUGAUAUAUAAGAAUGAGCCUGUUUGAGUUCCACGUAUACCUAAUGAUGAUCACUUCAGCUAUUGUGAGAAUCCGGCCAUUGUACUGAGCGAUGAAUAUGGCCGCCACAGCCUCGUACAGAGCAGUGCCAUCCAUGUUGAUGGUGGCGCCGACGGGGGCGACGAAGCGAACAAUGUUGCGGUGGAUCUUGUUUCUAUUCACAAGACACUCCAUUGUGAUGGGAAGAGUGGCGGAGCUGGGAGUGGAAGGAGAGGGUGGUACUCAAGUCCCAGAUGUAGGCCCUAAGUCUGUCUAAGCCUGACACAUGCUCAAAUACUCAAGUGUGCACGAGAUCCCUACGUGGAAUGGACAUACGAUACACCAGAUAAAUAUGGAUGCAUUCUCCUAAAGAUGACCUUCACCUUGAUGCUGUUCCCCAUGCUGUGAUGAUGGCCUUCAUCUGGCGGAAGAUGAAGAGGUAGGGGUUCUUCCUGGUGGCGAUAAAGUAGAUGAGGGGGAGGAAGAUGAGGCCGUGGAUGGCAAGACCAGCCAGGACGGUCAGGAAGUAGUA